UUAAUCUGAAGGUUAGGAUAGUGUGUUUGAUGGUCACAGUCUAGGAAAGACUAGAAAUAUGAUCUUUUUUGUCUUUAAAAUUCUCUAAAACAGCUCUUGCAGACCGCAGACGCGAUGCUGGGAGCUGCGGCUCCGGCGGCGGGGACGGCAGAGAUGUGAUGGGCGGCCCUAGCUUCACCGUCCCUCCCUCCUCGGGCCCGCAGGUCGCUGAGCCGCCUGCUGCAGGGCCUCGGCAUAGGAGGCAGAGCGACCUCUACACGAAAAGAGGGUACAAAAUGAAAACAAAAAGGGCCAGGCAUGGUGGCUCAUGACUGUAAUCCCAACCCUUUGGGAGGCUGAAGCGGUGGAUUCCUUGAGCUCUGGAAUUCAAGACCAGCUGGGACAACAUGGCGGAAACCAUUUAAAAAUUAUCCAGAUAGGGCUUUGGAGUCUGACUAUUCUGAUCAUCCAAAAAUAAAGAAAUCUCAAGCAGUUGAUAGAGCUUUUGAGUCUGACCCUUCUUCUGAUCAUCCCGAAAGAAAGAAAUAUCCAGCAGAUGAUAGAGCUUUGGAGUCCGACCCUUCUGAUCAUCCAGAGGGAAAGAAGUAUCCAGCAGAUGAUAGGGUUUUGGAGUCCGACCGUUCUGAUCAUUCAGAAACAAAGAAAUCUCAAGCAGUUGAUAGGGCUUUGGAGUCUGACCCUUCUGAUCAUCCAGAAGGAAGGAAAUACUCAGCAGAUGAUAGUUCCUUGGAGUUGAGCUCUUCUGAAACAUGGACAUCCCAAACAGCGCAAGAAAUAGGAGAAAACAGCUGUAGAAACCAUAUAUAUAUGGAUCAUUUUUCUUUGAAAUUCAGUUCAUGCUCGACAAUUUUUCUUGAAGACAGCACAGCCAGCUGCCCUGAUUUUGAAACGACACUACACUAAAAAGGAAAUAUAUCUUUCACAAUAUUUGAUGAACGUGUAUACCCAUUGGAAGACGAAAUGGAAAAAUACAUUAUGUGUGAUCCUUCACAGACAAUGAUUUACGAAUUUAUACAUUCCCUGUUUUAUGUAAAAAUUCUAAAUGUUGCUGAUGUCAUCAAAAGUAGGGUGUAUAUCCAAAGACUUGUGCACUGUGCUUCUAUGUACAUUCGUCCAACCACCUGGAGGAGGAUUAUCCUCGGAGCCUUUCUUCUUGUCAUCAAGGUUGGGAGCAAUGUGGCUGUGUGCAAUGAGGACUUAUGCAUGCGCUUUGAGAAAACUACAGUUGACGAUCUGUGAGUUUGUAUAGUUUUUGUGAACUUUCUAACCAUUUUUGGAUACUUUAUUUGCUCCCAUAAACUUAAACACUUUGAAAAAUACUUUUAAAGGUUACAUUAUGCAGAUAAUAAAAAUGGGCUUAAAUACUAAAAAAAAAAAAAA
rnacentral:lncRNA from 13 species